rnacentral:rRNA from 1 species
AGAGUUUGAUCAUGGCUCAGAACGAACGCUGGCGGCAUGCCUAACACAUGCAAGUCGAACGCUUGGUUUCGGCCAAGAGUGGCGCACGGGUGAGUAGCGCGUGGGAACCUGCCUUCUUGUGGGGGAUAACCGAGGGAAACUUCGGCUAAUACCGCAUGCGCCCGGGCAACCGGGGAAAGAUUUAUCGCAGGAAGAGGGGC